GUCCACGCCGUAAAUGAUGUCUACUAGCUAUCGGAAGUAUCGACCCUUUCGGUGGCGAAGCUAACGCGUUAAGUAGACCGCCUGGGAAGUACGAGCGCAAGCUUAAAACUCAAAGGAAUAGACGGGGACUCGCACAAGCGGUGGAUCAUGUGGUUUAAUUCGAUGGUACACGAGGAACCUUACCAGGGCUUGAAAUUCUAUUGAUUGCAAUUGGAAACGAUUGAGUCCUAAGAUUUAUCUUUGGCAAUAGGACAGGUGCUGCACGGUCGUCGU
rnacentral:rRNA from 1 species